rnacentral:tRNA from 1 species
GCGCGUUUAGCUCAGUGGUAGAGCGUCGCAUUCACAUUGCGAAGGCCGUUGGUUCAAUCCCAACAACGCGCA